UACGGAGGAUCCAAGCGUUAUCCGGAUUUAUUGGGUUUAAAGGGUGCGUAGGUGGACUCAUAAGUCAGCGGUGAAAGUUUGCAGCUUAACUGUAAAAUUGCCGUUGAAACUGUCGGUCUUGAGUGCAAAUGAGGUAGGCGGAAUGUGUCGUGUAGCGGUGAAAUGCUUAGAUAUGACGCAGAACUCCGAUUGCGAAGGCAGCUUACUGGGAUGCAACUGACGCUGAGGCACGAAAGCGUGGGGAUCGAACAGGAUUAGA
rnacentral:rRNA from 1 species